GGCGGCGGUUGGAGCUGUCGCCGUUAUUUGCAAACCGGGGCGUUGGUGGCGGCUGCAGCUUUUCAGACAUGUCGACUGUGGUGAGCGGCCUGCCCGGCUGUUUUUGUGCAGAUAGCCGCGUUAGGAGGAACAGACGCUUCUCGGAACUUCUGAUCCUUUCAUCCAGUGUCGGCGCCCCGCGUCUCCCGGGGAGCAGGGUGUGGGACCUGACAAGGCCGUGGGCACAACAGAGCAAGUUUCAGCCUGUGUUUGGGCAAGCAGUGAAAAAUGACCAGUGUUACGAUGACACCUGAGUUUGUCAUGUGGCCGGCCAUAAUUCCUUUUGCGCUGUCAGUCAUGCAUAAGCAGAAAAGGGAGUAUCAGAGGAGUGUUCCUUGUGCUUUCUUUGCAUAAGGUCAUGAUAAAGUCAUUGGAGCUGAUGGAUUAAGGCUUGCUCUGGCUGCGGGAAUGCUUCCAGAAGAGCUGGAUCCUAGGAGGGAGGGUUUCCAGCACCCGGAUGCCCGCAUGAAGAAGAUGCCCUUAUCUGCCGUGUCUGCUGGCUGCUGAGCAGUUACCACUUCCCACCUGGCUCCUGCAAGGAGAGACGCUGUCGCCCACUGAAGCCACAUGUCCUCCAGGUCUCCAUGUUCAGCUUCCAAAUGGGACUGUAGGGGUUCACUGAGAGUGCCCAGGUUCCUCCUUGAUCUGUUUUACUGUCAACUGGAUGUCUCUUGCUGGCUGAAAGGAAGGCAGGGCAGGCGAGGGUCUCUGCGUGGUCAUGGCCAUCUGUUUUCUCCAAGCCUCCCCAUUCUGGUGAUUGGCCAUGUAAUUUACCGCCUUACAGAGACACUUUCAAAAGUAAAAGGCGGUGCUAUCUGUAAUUAUGUGAGAAACAGCUAUGAAUAGGGCUGUCCAAGGCAAAGUGGGACAUUUGGUUGACCAAGGCUUAUAGAACCCUUGGGUCAUCCUCUGUCUUCCAGUUCACCCCUAUCACAGCAACAAUGGGCAGCAGUUCUCCAAAUGACCACUCCUCCUCUUGGGAAAUAUUCAGAGUCCUCAUCUGUCUCAUGGGGAUAAUAUUAGUACUUACUACAUAGGUACAUGGUUCAGCUCUUGUGAGGCUGAUUUCACCUAUGCCAGACACUGGUAACCGUGCACAAAGGGAUAUAUUUAAGUAUAUCCAUUGUAAUAGCCAAAGCCCGAAAGAUCCUAAAAAUUUGUCAAUAGGACACUGGUUCUUUCCUGCUCGGAUUAUGAUGCAGCUGUUAGAAACAGUGAUUAGAUUGAGAAUGACUGCCUGUCAUGGGAGGGCAGGGUUGUGUCCAUGGGGUGACCCCAAAGUCAGAAGCAGGAGGGGAGGUCAAGCCUGCAGACACAGUGGUUGAGUGGGUAAGACAGUGCAGAAACAGCGAUUGGGAGGCCAGGUUUGGCUUCUGCAUGAGAUGAUAUUGAAAGCUUUCAGGGACAAUCUUCACAAAAUAUUCCAUGUGAAUGGCACCCUAUGAAGUUAUUCACAUGGCCACUCUACCACCCUCCUCUCCAAAUUAUGGCAGCCAUUGGACAGCUUAGCCUUAGGGCCGAAGCCCUCACCACCCCUAGGGCCUUCUAUGGAAUGGGCAUCCCUUCCACGUGGAAGUGUUCUUCAGAUACUCUUCACUUGCCUAAACUCAUUUUUAUAAUGUAUCCUCUUCCAUGUACUUGUAUCCUACCUAGAACCUUGGUAUUCUUGGUUGCGUUGCUUUCCCUGAAGUGCCAAAAUGAAAGUUAGGGAAGCAGCAGUGCACAUGGGAAUGUAUUUGCUGAUAGAGAGAGGGGCACUAGGUCCCUGGUUGGAACUGGGAGCUUUGAGGAGGAGACUGGAGAAUCUACUGUCGUGGGUGUAUGUGACUGCAUUCAGCAGGUGCUGGGAGCAGCGGGGAGGACAGAAGCAGCAUCUGCUGUAGCCGUGACUAAGGUCCUGGGGUGCAAAGGGCCUCCUUCCUCCCUCUUCAGAGGAGCUCACAGUGGGCUUGAACAUGAAGGGGGAAGGAACUGAGCAGCAGCUGGAGAAGUGGGUCAGUCAGGAGUUGGGCCCCUCAUCUCCCAUCCACACCUGGUGUGAGGGAGGGAUCAGAAAGGACAGUAUACCUAUCAGACGUUUCAGCCAUGUCCAUGCCUGACAGAGGGAGGAAGGAGGGGACAGCAAGGUGAAAGGGGCUGUGACAGUAAGCAUGAAGGGUGCCUGGAAGGUACGCUGUCAGUGAGGAGAGGAGGGAAGCUGUCAGUGAGGAGAGGAGUGGGUCUGGUGAGCUGGGCUUAUCCAAUAAGAAGGUUCUAUAGGGAUGGCCACUCCAGCAGGUUCUGGGACACCCUGGGCCCAGGGAAUCUCACUUCUUCCUGUGUCUCAGCUGUGCAUUAAUGCUGGGACCAGAGAUGUAGCUUUAGGAGAAGUCCCUGCCACAGGCAGGGGGAAGGAUCAAAUAUUUGUGAGUCCUCAUGCCCUUUCCCCAGGCACACUGGGGACACCUACCCCACGAAUUCACCCCAACUGAGCACUGCAUUAUGGAAACCCUGGUGGCGUAGUGGUUAAGUGCCGUGGCUGCUAACCGAAGGGUCGGCAGUUCGAAUCCGCAAGGUGCUCCUUGGAAAGUCUAUGGGGCAGUUCUACUCUGUCCUAUAGGGUUGCUAUGGGUCGGAAUCGACUGGACGGCACUGGGUUUGGUUUUUUGGUUUGGAGCACUGUGUUGAAUUUUCUUCAGCUUUUUGUGUGUGCAUGUGUGUGUGUGUUUAAAUUUUACAUACACACAAAAAAUCUAUAGAACCUUAGCUUGAGAAACAGUGUCAUGAGGUGACCAAGCCCUUGACAGGGCUCCCCAGAAGCUGAGGGCCCCGAGGGCUUGGACAACUCCCAGUCAGGCUGGAAUCCUACAGGGUUCCCUACUUGAUGGCAGGGGUGUCCACGCGCCCACAGGGAGGCAGAGCAGAGCCAGGUGAGCUAUGUUGCUUGCAUCUGACAUGCCUCUGGAUCUCCUACCCCCUUUCCUACGUGUCUGGAGCAGAGGCGAUCAGGGUGCUACGCUGGGUCUCACCACCGGCAGUGCUUAACUGGGUGCCCCCCUUAGGACCCUAAGGGGGUUGGAAGGCCAAGGUUGGCUUCUGUAUGAGGUGAUGUUGAAAGCUUUCAGGGACAAUCUUCACAAAAUAUUCCAUUUGAAUGGCACCCCUUGAAGUUAUUGACAUAGCCACUCUGCCACCCUCCUCUCCAAAUUACGCCAGCCAUUGGACAGCUUAGCCUUCAGGCCGAAGCCCUCACCACCCCUAGGGCCUUCUAUGGAAUGGGGCAUCCCUUCCACAUGGAACUGUUCUUCAGAUACUCUUCACUUACCUAAACUCAUUUUUAUAAUGUCUCCUCUUCCAUAUACUUGCAUACAACCUAGAACCUUGGUAUUCUUGGUUGCGUUGCUUUCCCUGAAGUGCCAAAAUGAAAGUUAGGGAAGCAGCAGUGCACAUGAGAACCUAUUUGCCUUCCGCUCCUCAUCCUACCACCUCCACACUUACAUUUCCUCUUCCUCUCCUUUCAUAUUUCUAUUGGAAUGAGGAGGAACAGGGUUUCUGCCCCCACACUCCUUGUGGGACGCUCCUGACGGCUGGAGGAAAGAGAACAGUUGUGCAUGUCCAGGGCCACUAAGCACAGUACAGCACCUGUGUGGGGGUGCCCAGGCCAGAACCCCACUUCACAGUGCCCCCUCCGCAGGGUAUAUCCCAGCGCUUCUGACUCCCAGCCCAGCUCCCUGCCUGGGCCAUCAAGGGUCAUCUAGCGUGAUUCAGUGGUGCAGGCUGGGGUUCAGAAACCAGGGCAAUGCUAAGAAAGUGGGUAUGGAGGGCUGGAGAGAGAUUUUAUAGGCACUGAAGAUCCAAGGACCUCCAUUGCCUAAAUGAGAUCAGCUACAAAGGAGAGCUUAUGAAUAAGAGACAGAGGCAGACAGAGCGGGAGCGAGAAUAAAAAUCAAACAGAAAGAGAAAAUAAAAGACAUGCAGAUUGCUAGUCUCUUCUUCAGAAUCUCUGAAGUAGUUCUUUGGGUGGAUCACAGAAAUGAUGACAAUGGUUUGGCCUUAGGGCAGCCUGUCUUCUCCCAAAGCCCAUAGUUGUGCUGGGUAAUAUACAGCUGCAAAGCCAGAAGUAAUGGCUUCACCAGAGACGAAAACAGCUGAGGUGCCAACAAGGCCAGCUGUGUGCUGACAUGGGUGCCCAAGUUGGAAGUUGUGGGCAAUGAAUCCUCAAAAGCUGAGUGUGCUGGCCAAGGCUGGCCUGCCUGGAGUGGAUCUUGGGGCUGGGCUGGGCUGCUAGGAUUCCCAACCGGAGUGAGUUGUUAGAGGUCCGGUUCUGUGCUGCUGCCCAUCCGGGGCCCUGAUUGUGGGCUGGGUUGUACUCCAGGGUAAAUGGAAAGGUUCAAAGUUAGGUUGGGACCACAGAACUUCAGUACAGGUGGGCUGGUUGUUUCUGGGUCUGAUGCCGUACUGUCAUGGGGGGCAGUAUCUGAAGGGGCUGGUCAAAUGGGAAGAAGCUCCCACUGUAGCUAGUGGGAUGCCCCAAGAGAAGUGGCUGGGAAAUUGGGGUGAAGUCUGUGGGGAUGACUCCAAAGUCAGAAGCAGACUGGGAAACCAAGCUUGCAGACACAGUGGUUGAGAGGCUAGGACUGAAUACAGAAGCAGCCAUUGGCAGGCCAAUGGAGAGAGGGUCACUAGAUUCCUGGUUGAAACUGGGAACUGUGAGGUGGCGACUAGAGAAUCUACACUCAUGGGUGUAUGUGACUGCUUUCAGCAGGUGCUGGGAGCAACAGGGAGGGCAGAACCAGCAUCUGCUGCAGCCGUGACUGAGGUCCUGAGAUGCAAAGGGCCUCCUUCCUUCCCCUUCAGAGGAGCUCACAGUAGGCUUGAACAUGAAGGGGGAAGGAACUGAGCAGCAGCUGGAGGAGCGAGUCAGUCAGGAGUUGGGCCCCUCAUCUCCCAUCCACACCUGGUGUGAGGAAGGGAUCAGGAAGGACAGGAGACCUAUCAGAAUGGCUGACAGAGGGAGGAAGGAGGGGACAGCAAGGUGAAAGGGGCUAUGACAGUGAGGAAGGAGCAGGCUUGUUGGGCCGGACUUCUCACUACACAAAGGCUCUAUGGGUGGAUACUCCAGCAGGUUCCAGGCCUAGGGGGUCCUGAUUCGUGCAUCUCUUCAACCAUAGAUUAAUGCUGGGGCUGGAGGGGCAGCUGGUGGAGGAGCAGUCCCUGCAGCAGGCAGUGGGGAGGACCGGGUGGUUCUGAGUCCUCAUGCCCUUUCCCCUGGCCCAUUGUGGAGACCUGCCCAGAUCCUGCUGGGGUGGGGGCUGGGAGAGACAUAGUUACCAUGUGACCCAGCACUCCCACCCCUAGGUACUGAGCCAAGAGAAAUGAAUACUUUGGUUCACACAGAAACCUGCACGUGAAUAUGUGUGUGUGUAUUGUUACAUUUGCAGUUGUACCUGCUUUAUGCAUCUCCUAGAUGAGAGACUAUUGAGAUUACCCAAUUUUUCUUGAGUGGCUUUGGAACUGUCUUUAGUGAUUGCUCUGGGGAUAACAAAUAUAUAUACCGAACAUUUCACAGUCUAAUUAGAGUUCAUAUCUUACCAAUUCUGGUAAAUUGUAGAAGCCUUACACUCAUAUAAAUUUCUGAUACCCCCAGUCUUUUUAUUACACUUGUCAGAUGUAUUAACACGUACAUGAACUGAACCCCACGUAUAUGACUGAGACUGUAACGAACGAGAAAAAAGCUAAUAUAAUAAACGUGCUUUUGUUGUUGGGUGCCACUGAGUCGAUUCCGAUUCGUAGUGACCCCAUGUGACAGAGCCGAACUGCCCCACAGGACUUUCUUGGCUGUAAUCUUUACGGGAGCAGAUGGUCAGGUCUUUCUCCUGAGGAACCACUGGGUGGGAUGGAACUACCAGGUUAAGCCAAGCACUUAACUGUUUUGCCACCAGAGCUCCUUAAUAAAAUCAGGAGCUGUAGCUAAAGCCAUAUGCCCAUGAGAAUAGAGAAAUGUAAAAUACAUUGAAAAUUCAUUACUAUAACAGUAAAUGACCCAAAUAUAAAUUUGGAAAAACAGAGAAAACCCAUGAUUGAAAUCAACAACAAGAAAUUUAAAUUUAAUAAUUUUAAGAAUAAAAUAUAAAUUAAAAUAAAGUAGGAGCCCUCCCUGGUGGCGCAGUGGUUAAGCGUUUGGUUGCUAACCAAAAGGUUUGCAGGUUGAAUGCACCAGCGGCUCCUUGGAAACCCUAUGGGGCAAUUCUACUCUGUCUUAUAGGGUCACUAUGAGUCAUGAUCGACUUGAUGUAAUAAAAGUCACAACAGAUAAACACUAGGACAGCUGCGGCUUCUUGGAGACAAGGCUGAAGCCUUCAGGUCCAAGCCUUCACUGGUCUCGAGACCAGAAUAUGUGACACAGACACAGGGGCCGGAAUCACUGGGGAGGCAUUGAGAGGGGCAGAGGAGGGGCGUGCUGGGUGGACUGCGAGACUCAGAAGGCCUUGGGACUCAGAAGGCCUUGGGACUCAGAAGGCCUUGGGACUCAGAAGGCCUUGGGACUCAGAAGGCCUUGGGACUCAGAAAGCCUUGGGACUCAGAAGGCCUUGGGACUCAGAAAGCCUUGGGACUCAGAAGGUCUUGGAUUCCUUAUUUUCAGGGGUCAGGAGAGUAGGGAACUGAGGCCUCUUUGCUGCAUUCUGUUGACCGCAGAGGUGUCUAUAACUGUUCCCCAAAAUGUUUUCACCUGGGAGCUUGGCAGGGCAGACUUCAGUGAACAUACUACAGCAGAAAGGGAAGGAGUCUGGGAUCUAGGAUAAGGAGGCAGAGCCCACCCACCUGGGGCAUUUGGGUGGUCUGAUGGAACAGGUGUGGAAGUGAUGAUCACACCCGCUCUGCCCUGACAUCAAUAUAAUUCAGUCUGGGGUUCUUCACAUUACGCCCGGACAACUUUUUGGAGCUCUUCCCUUUCCCCCUAAUGGUUAUUUUUCUUUCUGACGCCACCACCACCAAACCUUGCCUAUGCCUUUCAAUUAAUAAAAGCAUUAUGCUGUGGUAACGAAAACAACGUUUAUGGAUUUAGUGUAGUCCCGUGUGAAAAGGUUACAGAAGAUACUGCUUUUUAAUAUGUACUAAAACCAGUUCUAUUAUUUACAAAAUUGAAAAAUAAAAGGGUCGUAAAUAGGUACCUUGUAAUCCUA